rnacentral:rRNA from 1 species
UUGAUCCUGGCUCAGAAUGAACGUUGGCAGCGUGGAUUAGGCAUGCAAGUCGAGCGACAAGUUCCCUUCGGGGGAUGGAGGAGCGGCUAACGGGGUAGUAAGGCAUCGGAACGUACCCUUCUGUCUGGGAUAGCCAUGGGAAACUGUGAGUAAUACCGGAUAAUCUCUUCGGAGCAAAGGUCCGCCGCGGAAGGAGCGGCCGAUGUGAGACUAGGUAGUUGGCGGGGUAAUGGCCCACCAAGCCCGAGAUCUCUAGGGGGUGUGAGAGCAUGGCCCCCACCACUGGGACUGAGAUACUGCCCAGACACCUACGGGUGGCUGCAGUCGAGAAUCUUCGGCAAUGGGCGCAAGCCUGACCGGGCGACGCUGCGUGCGGGAUGAAGGCCCUUGGGUUGUAAACCGCUGUCAGAGGGGAUGAAAGCGUAAGCUUGACAGAGCCUCAGAGGAAGCGCGGGCUAAGUUCGUGCCAGCAGCCGCGGUAAUACGAACUGCGCGAACGUUAUUCGGAAUCACUGGGCUUACAGGGUGCGUAGGCGGCCCACCAGGUCAGAUGUGAAAUCCCACAGCUCAACUGUGGAACUGCAUUUGAAACCGGCGGGCUUGAGUGAACUAGAGGCAUACGGAACUUCCGGUGGAGCGGUGAAAUGUGUUGAGAUCGGAAGGAACACCAGAGGCGAAAGCGGUAUGCUGGAGUUUGUCUGACGCUGAGGCACGAAAGCCAGGGGAGCAAACGGGAUUAGAUACCCCGGUA